rnacentral:rRNA from 1 species
UACGUAAGGUGCGAGCGUUGUCCGGAAUUACUGGGCGUAAAGAGCUCGUAGGUGGUUUGUCGCGUUGUCCGUGAAAACUCACAGCUCAACUGUGGGCGUGCGGGCGAUACGGGCAGACUGGAGUACUGCAGGGGAGACUGGAAUUCCUGGUGUAGCGGUGGAAUGCGCAGAUAUCAGGAGGAACACCGGUGGCGAAGGCGGGUCUCUGGGCAGUAACUGACGCUGAGGAGCGAAAGCGUGGGGAGCGAACAGG